CUCGUAGGUGGUUUGUCGCGUCGUUUGUGGAAUACCGGGGCUUAACUUCGGGGUUGCAUACGAUACGGGCAUAACUUGAGUGCUGUAGGGGAGACUGGAAUUCCUGGUGUAGCGGUGAAAUGCGCAGAUAUCAGGAGGAACACCGAUGGCGAAGGCAGGUCUCUGGGCAGUAACUGACGCUGAGGAGCGAAAGCAUGGGGAGCGAACA
rnacentral:rRNA from 1 species